UGAUUCGAUAACAGCCCAGAAGUGUCGUCCGUACCCGUGGGCUGGCUGUGUCACCCAGGCAGCAGCUGAAAGGGGCUGAAAGGAUCGCCCCUCUGUGGCCCCCACCUUGGGGCUGGAGUCUUGGACUCCUCACUCUGCCCUCCUGGACCCUCCCAGACCAGCCAGCCUGGUUCACAGGUGGACCUCACUCUGCCUGAGGCUUGGCCUCUGCCUGGAUGGGGGAUGAGGUCCUGAGUCCUGGAUCUCACAGGGCAGGGCCCUCUUUCCUGGGGGUUGCGGGCACAGCCUCCCAGCGACACGGAGGUGGGGCGGGCCUGGCAGCCUCUGCGCAGGUCCGGGAGAUUCGCAGCUGAGUGAUGGAUCCUAGGAGCCGCUGUCGGACGCCGUGGAUGAGGGGCUGACGUGGUUUUCCCCUCCCCACCUUCCGUCCUCUUCUGGCCUUUGGGUCAGGCCUGGACUCUACCCCACGGCCAGUCUCCUCUCUUGCCAGCUGGUGGUCUCUGGGAGGGAGGCAGAGUCCAGGCUGGCCGUGGCGGGGGAGAGGCGGGGAACCGGGGAAGGGCCAGCAAUAGGAAGGGGACGGAGGAGAGAGAAGGGGGCUAUUGGGCCUUCAGAUGAGUGACCUGAAGGAAACGGACAUGGAGAAGGGACCAAGGAGAGCUCCAGGCAGUGUGGGGGAGCCCCAAGUCCUCCCCAGGCCCAUUGUUUAGAAACGAAGGAACUGACUUCAGCCCCGGGAGCAGGGCCUCCCACCCCACCCGGGCUUCCUGCUCCCCAGGCGGCCAGAGUGGACUUUGUCCACCUUAUUUGGGGAUUGAGAAGCUGCACGGCGUGCGCGUCCCUGCAGUCCACAGCCUCAGGGUGGAGGGUACCUCUCCAGUCACUCUCUGUGACUCAGACUUACAGCCUUUUGAGCAGAGAAAGUGCUAAUCGAGUAUCCAUUCGAUCCUCCAUUCAGCUGUCCAUCUACCCUUCCAGGUAUCCACCAACCCCUCAUCCACCCACCUAGCCAUUCACAUGUCCACAGCUGUCCCCUCUUCUAC
ensembl:lncRNA